rnacentral:misc_RNA from 1 species
UCUCGGCUUAUCACCGGCAGUCCCCCUAGAGUGCCCAACUCAAUGAUGGCAACUAAGGGCGAGGGUUGCGCUCGUUGCGGGACUUAACCCAACAUCUCACGACACGAGCUGACGACAGCCAUGCACCACCUGUACACCCCCAAAAGAAGCCCCAUCUCUGGAGCGGCAGGGUGUAUGUCAAACCCAGGUAAGGUUCUUCGCGUUGCAUCGAAUUAAUCCACAUAAUCCACCGCUUGUGCGGGUCCCCGUCAAUUCCUUUGAGUUUUAACCUUGCGGCCGUACUCCCCAGGCGGUCAACUUCACGCGUUAGCUUCGUUACCAAGGGAGUUAAUCCCCCGACAACCAGUUGACAUCGUUUAGGGCGUGGACUAC